rnacentral:lncRNA from 1 species
CGGUGACCUUUCUUAUAUUUAAGAAGUUUUAUUGUGACUCCUUCAAAUAACAGAUAUUGCUGGAAACUCUAUUAUAUUCCCAAUAUAUAUUUCCGUUUUAUCAAGUUCUCUGUCAUAUCUUGUAUUCAUAUUUUGGAAAUCAACAUUUAGCGUUACAAUAAUGACCAGAGACAGAGCAAUCUAAUAUUUCUUUACAUUAACAAUGAUAAAAAAAUAUGCUGUUAAGGGCAUACGAUACAGUUUUGAUCCCGUAUUUACAAGUUGGUGAAAAUUUGCAUAUAGGCUAUUUUUUACCU